rnacentral:rRNA from 1 species
UACGUAGGGUGCGAGCGUUGUCCGGAAUUAUUGGGCGUAAAGAGCUCGUAGGCGGUCUGUCGCGUCGGUCGUGAAAACCUGCAGCUUAACUGUGGGCUUGCGGUCGAUACGGGCAUGACUGGAGUUCGGCAGGGGAGACUGGAAUUCCUGGUGUAGCGGUGAAAUGCGCAGAUAUCAGGAGGAACACCGAUGGCGAAGGCAGGUCUCUGGGCUGUAACUGACGCUGAGGAGCGAAAGCAUGGGGAGCGAACAGG